UUGACCAUUGGCUAUUGUUUCGGGAUGAUUCUUGGGCUUUAUCUCUUGUAUGCUAUUUCAUUUGGCAUCUGAAUCGAUAAAUUUAUCUCCUAGCUGUUGGUUUUAGAGAGAGAAAAUGAGGAGGAGAAUCUCUACUACCAAGGUUUCAUCUUUGGUUCUUGUCUCUGAAAUUUAUGAUUUAAGAACUGUAAUCUAUGAUGUUUAGCCUCUUUUUUUUAAUAUUUCGAGUGGACAUUUGUAAGAACAAGAGGGUUUUUAUGAGUUGUUAUUUUCAGAGGAGUUUUGGGACAAUUCUUGGUGAUUAUUCAUAGAUCGGAUGUUGUUCUUGAGAGAUAAGUGUUUUUAUGCUAUCUCUGUUUUAUUGGUUAAAACUCUUGUAACCCUUGUUACCAUUUUGGGCUAUUUAAUCCAAUUUAUUGAAUUCUCAAAGGAGAUGUAAGUGUUAGAAAUGGUCUCCAAACCUCCAAGGUUUCGGCCAAAAUAAUUCUCGUGUUCGAUCUUUAAUUUCUGCACAUUUACUUUCUGUAAGAUCAAUUUAUCUUGUUUCUCAAAACUGAUAUUGUAUGAAUCUGGCCUUACAGUGGUAUCAGAGCCAUUACUGAGUAGCAAGAUACUUGGAUUCGAGAAGAAAGUGUCUGAUCUACUACAUAUUUGAAAAUUUUGAAACUGUUUUUAUGCAAAACCGAAAGAAAACACUUUGUAUGAACUCGUUGGGUAAGAUAUUUAAUUUUUUUGUAAACUUUCCUUUUCAGAAAUUAGGGUUUCUUGAUUUUUCCUUGAUUUUCUGUACACUGAGAACCUCCUUGAGACUAAUUUUUGUCCAAAGGCUCCUACGAGUCCUUGAGAAUCUGAGACAAACGUGUGCAUAGGGAAGACCUUAUAGGAGGAAUCUUUGAAACGUAGUACCGUGAUCUUUGUCACUGUGUUUUCUUUUUGAUCUUGGCCGACAUGUUCUCUGAAUAUGCUUGAAAUUUACAAAACUUGUGAAAUCUUGUUUUACUUUUCGUACUACUGUGAUUCAAUUAACACUAAGCUGAAUAUUGUUAUUCUUUGUAGGUAUUGUCUUCAACUUGUGUUUCAUUUUUAUUAGGAAAAUGGACAUUGCUAAGUUUGAAGUUAUUUGAUGGAAAUUUUGAAUUUAAUAUUUGGUGUCAGAAAAUGAAGGCUAUUUAAAUACAAAUGGAAUGUGUUAAAGUAUUAGAUGAUAGUUGCCCUACUGACAUGAUUCCUGUAGAGAGAUUUGAACUUGAAGAAGAUGCAUGGAGGAGUAGGUAAAAUCAAAACUGCUUCUGAACUGUGGACUAAAGUUCAGUCCAAGUAUAUGAUUAAAACUACUACAAGUUUUCUAUUGAAACAAUUCUUUUCAUUUAAAAUGGAUACUUCAAUCAACUUGGACGAAAAAUUUAAGAGAUUUACAAAACUUGUCCAAGACAUAGUUAACAUUGAUAAAAAAAAAACACUUUCAAAAUAUUAUAUGGCUACAAUCCUUUUAAACUUCGUUAAUGACAGACAUAAAGACAUCAAGGUUCUUCUAGGAUAUGGCAGGGAAGAACUUACCAUUGAUAAUUUUUUUGCAAAAGAAAAAGUUCUUAGUAGAUCUAAUAAUCACUCCAAGUAUUUUAAUAAAAAUAAAAAAAAAGUCGAGCGUUAAAAAUAAGUCCAAAAAUAAUGCUAAAGGCAAGAAAUGUUUUUACUAUGGGAAAUUGAGACUUUUUGCUAAAGGUUGCUAUAAGAAGAAAAAUGAUUCCAAAUAAAGGAAGUUUGGUGAUGGGAGUGCUGCCCUAGUUUAUAAUAAAGCUAAGAUUGAAAAUGGUUUAGUCCUUGUUAAUACGGGGAAGAAACUUAGUGAUGAAUGGAUACUUGACUGAGGCUGUUAUUUCCACACGUGUCCAAAUAAAAACUGUUUUCUUGAUUUUGAAAAAACUUUUGGCGGGCAAGUUAUAAUGGGGAAACUUUCAAGGUUAGUUGAACAUGGACAAUAAAAUUGUUGUUAGAAUAUUCCUGAAAGAAAUAAGAUAUGUUCCUAAUUUAAAGAGGAAUCUAAUAUCCUUAAGCAUGUUAGAUGACGUGGAGUUUAACAUAAAUUUGGUUCAAGAACACAUUAAAAUUCUUAUGGGCAAUGAUUUAAACAUAAGCACCCCAAAGAGACAGCGCCUCUUUUUUUUGAAAGCUAAACCCUUACUUGAUUUGAUUGCUUCUACUUUAUUUGAGAAUUUUACACUUGCAAAAUUGUGGCAUGAAAGACUUUACCAUAUUGGUAAAAAGAGUUUGAACUCUUUACAAAAAAAAAAAAAGGAAUUUUUGGAAAAUUAAAUUUUGAUAAUUUUGAUCAUUGUGAACAAUGUGUUAUAGGAAAACAAGUCAAAUUACAUUUUCCAACGAGAAUUCAUAAAUCCAAACAAACACUUGAAUAUUUACAUGCUAAUUUAUGGGGUCUUGCUGCUGUGUACACUUUAUCUGGUUUCAGAUAUUACUUGUUGAUCAUUGAUGACUUUUCAAAAAAAAAUAAUAUUAAUAAAUAAAUUGGGUUUUCUUAUUGAAAACUAAAGAUGUCACUUUCUCCCUUUUCAAGGAUUGGAAAACUCAAGUUGAAAGUCAAAUUGAUCACAAAAUUAAAACUUUGAUGACUGAUAAUAGUGUGGAAUUUUGCAAUUAUGAAUUCAAUAAUUUCUAUAAAGAACAUAGUAUUUUGAGAUAUAAAAUUGUCACUUAUACACCUCAACAAAAUAGAAUAACUAAAAGAAUGAAUAGAACUUUAUUAAACAAAGUUAGACGCAUGCUUUUAAGUUCUAGUUUGCUUAAAUGGUUUUGGUGCGAAACUCGAACAUGUCAGAAUGGGCUAACCUGAACCGACCCACCCGCAAGCUUAAUCGGCAUGAGCCCAAUAGUUCUAUCAAUCCGGCACAUGUCGAUUUUCAGUCUAAAUCAAGCCUAAAGCAUAAUCUCUCUUUAUUUUAAAAGAGAGAAUGUAAGGUUUACUAUUCAUUUUUGUCACAUAGAUUUUCAUAUGAAAUUGGUUUUGCAACAGUAAAUUAUCAAUGACGCUCUAGCAUUCUUUUCACACUCUAUUUCACCAUUUUCACACGCCGUUUCAUUACGACAUUACCUCCACUACAAUAUUUCUACAUGUUCACACACUACUUCACUUGAUUAAAGACAAUACUAUAUAUUAUAUAAUAAAUAAACGAAAUUAAAUAUAAAGAUUAUUUAAAAAAAUUACAGACAAAAAUAGAAAGAAAUUAUUAUAAAGUUUUUAAAUAAAAUUAAAAUGAUUUAAGGAAAAAAUAAAUAUUAUUUAAUUUCAAAUUUAACGAAUGUCGUUCUAUCAUAAAGAAUGUAUAAAGAUUAAACAAAUAAAAUAAUAUUAUAAUUAAAAUCGAAAAUAUUAAAUUAAAAAAAAAUCUCUCAUUGGACGGAGAGAAUCUCUCCUUUUGAAAUGUCAAAAGGAGAGAAAAAGUUUUGACUUUUCAAAAGGUGAGAACUCUCCAUUUGUAACCACUCCGUGCAUAGGGUGGUGAUAAUUUUUUGUUAGUUUUAUUUAUAUAGUUAUUUUUUUAUUAAUAAAUAUUUAAUUUAAAAAAAUAUAUCUAAAUAUCUACUUGAAAAUGUUAAAGUUAAUAUUUUUUUAUCUAUAAAUAAGUAGCUUUUACAAAUGUAAUUUUUUUACUACUUUUAAAUAAUUUGAAGUAAUUUUUUUUUAUCUAUAAGUAACUUUUUAUAUUUUAGAUGGUGUAAUCUUUUUAUUAAUAUUUAAUUAUAUCUAAAUAUUUAUACUUACAAAUUUUUAGGUUAAUAUUUUUUUACCCUCCUUAUCCUUCCUUAUAGAAUGUGAGGUUUACUGUUUAUUUAUGUCACAUAAAUUUUCACAAGAAACUAGUUUGAUAAUAAUAGAUUAUUCUAUUCAAUCACAUCGUAGCAUUUUUUUCACACGCUAUUUCACCAUUUUCACACGUCAUUUCACUGUAAUGUCACGUCCAUUGCAAUAUUUAUCCAUUUUUAUACAUUACAUCACUUGAUGAAAGUUAAUACUAUAUUAUUAGCCUGUUUGAGCCACAUUUUUUUUCAAAAAAAUAUAUUUUUCAACGAUGAUUUGACAUCAUCUCAAUCACAAAUUCUUCGAUAAAAUAAUAUUAUAAGCAAAUCCAAAACUUUUUCUUAUUUCUUAACCACACAUUUCUCAUCAAUACACUAUUUAAAAAUACAUUUUCAUUCUAAUAAUGUGGCUCAAACAAGAGUUAUAUUAGGGAUGUCAACGAGCUGGGCCGAGCCGAGCCCGAGCCUAAAAUUUUAGGCUGGAGCUCGGCCCGGUUAAAAUGGUCGAGCUUCAGGCUUUUACGGGCUAAGCCGGACAGGCUCGAUUUUUUUUCCCCUUCCUUUAAAACUGUCUUUUAAAGGCAGCAAACUUGGCAUAAUUCUACCUUGCUGCCUCUUUUUCUUCUCUUUUUUAUUUUUUUAUUUAUAAUAAAAGCUCGCGGGCUGGCUCGGGCUCUGCUCAUGUCCCCAAAAUGGGGCUCGGUACAUGAGCCGGGCCGGCUCGGGCUUUUUCCAUGCCGGACCACAGGCCACCCGAGCCUUUUUGACACCCUUAGGCUAUAUAUAUGAUAAAGAAACGAAACUAAAUAUAAAGAUUAUUAAAAAAAGGAAUUGCAAACAAAAAUAGAAAAAAUUUAUUAUAAAGUUUUUAAAUUAAACUCCUUAUCUUUUAAAAUUAAAAAUAAAUAUUAUUUAAUUCAAAUUAACGAAUGUCGUUCUAUCAUAAAGAAUGUAUAAAGAUUAUUUUAUUAGACCAAAAUAAAUAAAUAAAAUAAAAUAAAGUUACAAAAAUUAAUUAAAUAAUAUAUAAAUAUUAUGUAAUUAGUUAAAAUUGAAAAAAUUAAAUUUUACCAUAAAAGAAUUAACAAUAAAUUUAUAUUGUAUGAACAAAAUUAUCCAUCCUUAAAAAAAGGGGAGGACAAAAAAAUUUCUCCUUUUGACUUUUCAAAAGGAGAGUUCCCUCCUUUCAAGAAGUAAAACUCUCCGUGAUACUCCAUCUCACGGAGAUCCUCUCCAAUAGGAGUGGGUGGAUUUUUUCUUAUUUAUUUAUUUUGUAAUUUGUUUUGUUGAUAUUAUAGAUAAUUUUUUUCUAUUUAUAAUUUUUAUGAAUUUUUUCUCUUUAUGUAUGAUUGAACUUAAUUUUUUUAAUUAUUUUUUCUCUCAGUGAAAGGAGAAUUUUUUUCCUAUUUAAAAUUUUUUCAAUAUUAAUUUAUUCUAUUUAAUUUUUUUUUCAAUUUUUUUGUACUGGUGAUGGUGGAAAUUAUUGAUUUUUUUUGCACAAAACUGGACGGUUCAUUUUUGUGACACGUGUUUUUACAUUCAACUGGUUUGAAAUGGGUUUGGUCAAAGUGAUUUGAUUUUUUUAUUAUAUUAUACAUCAUUAUCUUACUGUUUAUUUUUGUCACAUUGAUUUUCACAUUGAACAUGUUUGAAAUUGGUUUGGUCAUUUGAAUCUGAUACACAAUACUCUUUCUCUAUUUUCUCACGCUAUCAAUUAUCAACCAUACCCUAUAAUUUUAUUAGUAGUAAUAUUUUGUAACACCGUAGUAGAAACAACAUCGCUUUCUAUUUUACAUGCUUUGAAUUUGACACAUAGUACUCUUUUUUCAUUUUCUCACGCUAUCAACUAUCGACCAUAUCCUAUAAUUUUAUUAGUAAUAAUAUUUUUUCAAAUAGUUUUUUACAUAAUAGUUAUUCUUUAUUUCUAAAAUGUAAAAAGUUACUUAUAACUAAAAAGAUCACUUUAAGUUAUUUAAAAAUAAAAUGAACUUAUAAUUGUAAAAGCUACUUAUAAGUAAAAAAAUAUUAACUUAAAUUUUUUUAAGUAUAAAUAUUUAGAUAUAUUUAGUUUUUAAAAUUAAAUAUUAAUAAAAAUAUUACACUAUAUAGAAUGUAAAAAGUUACUUAUAAAUAAAAAAAGCACUUCAAGUUAUUUAAAAGUAAUAAAAAAACUUACAAUUGUAAAAGAUACUUAUAAGUAAAAAAAAAAUUAAUCUCUCAUUCUCUUAUAAUUGCAAAAGCUACUUAUAAGUAAAAAAAUAUUAACUUAAAAUUUUUUAAGUAUAAAUAUUUAGAUAUAUUUAGUUUUUAAAUUAAAUAUUAAUAAAAAGAUUAGAUAAUCUAAAAAGUUGCUUAUAAGUAAAAAAAUCACUUCAAGUUAUUUAAAAGUAAUAAAAAAAACUUAUAAUUGUAAAAGCUACUUAGAUAAAAAAAAAUAUUAAUUUCAACAUUUUUAAGUAAAUGUUUAGAUAUAUUUAAUUUUUUUAAAAUUAAAUAUUAAUAAAAAAUUACUAUAAUUAAUAAUAAUAAUAAUAAUAUACGUGGUGCACGGAGUGAAAGCACUCCAUGCAUUGUUUUUUUAAUUUUUUUUACUAUAGUAAAUUUUUUAUUAAUAUUUAAUUUUAAAAAAUUAAAUAUAUUUAAAUAUUUACUUAAAAAUGUUGAAGUUAAUAUUUUUUUAUCUAUAAGUAGCUUUUAUAAUUAUAAUGGGGUGUUUGAGAGACAUUUUUAUGUAAAAUUUUACAUUUUAGAAUAGUAACUUGAUGGGAAGUGUGUGAUUGAAAAUUAAGAAAUUUAUUUUGAUUUAAGUAUAAUAUUAUUUUAAUAAAGAAUGUGUGAUUGAAAAUAAGAGAGAGAAAAAUGAAUUUUGGAAAAAAUCGGUACCAAACGGGGGCUGAGUUUUUUUAUUACUUUUAAAUAACUUGAAAUAAUUUUUUUACUUAUAAGUAACUUUUUAUAUUCUAGAUAGUGUAAACUUAUUAUUAAUAUUUAAUUUAAAAAGCUAAAUAUAUCUAAAUAUUUAUAAUUAAAAAUUUUUAAGUUAAUAUUUUUUUACUUAUAAUUAGCUUUUUUAAUUAUAAGAGAAGGAGGGAUUAAUAUUUUUUUUUUACUUAUAAGUAGCUUUUAUAUUAUAAGUUUUUUUAUUGUUUUUAAAUAACUUGAUGUGAUUUUUUUACUUAUAAGUAACUUUUUACAUUUUAGAUAGUAUAAUCUUUUUAUUAAUUUUUAAUUUAAAAAUAAAAAACUCUUAAAAAAUGGGGUUGAGAUCACUAUUCAUUCUUGUCACUUAAAUUUUCACACUUGCUUGGUUUAUACUAUUCAUUAACUGGUUCACAAAAUGUCCCUUAAAAGUGGGUUUUGCUCUCUCGCUUUCAUUUCUCCAUGUCAAAGAAAACCCUACCACACCGAUUCUCAAAAUCUGGGAUUUUGAAACUCAGAGGGUUGAAGGGGAGAUCUUGAGAAGGAAACUGCAAUAUGAAGUGUAUAAAGUGAUAUGACAAUCUAAUCAAAUGUGGAUAAACAACUUCUUCUACGGGAGUUUCUCAAUUUAUUAUUUUAUCUUUUUUUUUUCAACUUUUUCUAUAACCCCUUCUUUAUUUGUAAUUUUUUCUUUUGGUAGGGUGGGAACAUAAUUCAAAUUCUUUAAAUAAUUCAAAUCUCCAACCAAAAUGGUUUUAAUUACAGUAAAAUAGAAGAAAUAGAAACCCCGAAAAAUGAAAAUGAUUGUAUUAAAGAACAACAACAUAAUAAUGUCAUUGGUAUAUUGAGUUUGUGGCAGGUUUGUUGGCUGAGCUAUUGGGGAGAUAAUACAGGGAUUGGAAGUAAGUGAUGAACAAUGGCCAUAGUGCCAAAACAUGGUUACAUGCAGGCGCGUUUGUAAGAAGUGGAGGACAAUUACAAAAGACGUGGUCGAAGGUGUCAAUUAAUCCACGGGCUGCCAAAAUCACUUUCCCUUAUUUCCUUAAAAAUGUUGAAUCUUUGUGUUUAUGGUCUAUUUUGAAGUACUUAUGUUUCAAGUUAGUGAUUUGGGAAUUUGGUGGAUUUUGAUAUUAGCGAUCUAAGUUUGGUUUUGGAAUUGUUGUUUAUUUAAUAACUAUGUAGACUUAUAGCGUCCGAAUUGGAAUAGAAAUGACCUUUUCAAAUUUGAAAUGGUUGUUUAUGAAUGAAAAUUGUCAUGUUGCCAAUGGCUUUUGAGAAAUAGUUGUAAUUCAUUAGUGAUUUUCUAUUGAACCGAUUUUAGUCCAUUUUAUUUAAUUGAUGAUUCUACUGUGUGUAAUUUCAUUAGACUUAGGCUAAGUUUCUUGGAAUAAAAUACAUGCCAAUAUCGUUCAUUUGUAUAUAUUUAGUAGCAAAAAUUGCUGGAGUGUUCUGCAGUAGUUGAUUAACUGAAAGCAUUGGAUAUACGAUUUGGGCAAAGAAUUUUUAGUGGUUAUUGAUUGUUUUUUAGUUUUCUAUGUUUAUUGCAUUCAGCUUGUUUCAUUAUUGUUUAAAAAUACGUGAUAUUUUUAAACCCUAUCUAUGCUGAACUAAGAACUUUAUAAAUUAUGCUGGCUGAUGCUUUAACUUUCUUUUAUUUUGCAGCCAGGGCCUUGGAAGUGUCCAUAUCAGUGUCUUAUAAAGUGUGACCAGAAGAAUGCAACGUUUUACCUCUGUCUUGCUCUUUCUCCAUGUAAGUAAACAUUUGUUGAAAGUUUCUAAGAUAACUUAUAAAUUGAAAUUUGCUUGUGUACCAAAUGAUAUUUAAUCAUUUUCUAUCUGGUGAAUGAACUAAGUAAAACCUUGAAAUUUAAC
rnacentral:lncRNA from 1 species